AUUGAACGCUGGCGGCAUGCCUUACACAUGCAAGUCGAACGGCAGCACGGGUGCUUGCACCUGGUGGCGAGUGGCGAACGGGUGAGUAAUACAUCGGAACAUGUCCUGUAGUGGGGGAUAGCCCGGCGAAAGCCGGAUUAAUACCGCAUACGAUCUACGGAUGACAGCGGGGGACCUUCGGGCCUCGCGCUAUAGGGUUGGCCGAUGGCUGAUUAGCUAGUUGGUGGGGUAAAGGCCUACCAAGGCGACGAUCAGUAGCUGGUCUGAGAGGACGACCAGCCACACUGGGACUGAGACACGGCCCAGACUCCUAAGGGAGGCAGCAGUGGGGAAUUUUGGACAAUGGGCGAAAGCCUGAUCCAGCAAUGCCGCGUGUGUGAAGAAGGCCUUCGGGUUGUAAAGCACUUUUGUCCGGAAAGAAAUCCUUGGCCCUAAUACGGUCGGGGGAUGACGGUACCGGAAGAAUAAGCACCGGCUAACUACGUG
rnacentral:rRNA from 1 species